CGUUCUCUGGGAAAUUACCAAACAGACAGUAUAAAUUCCGUCCAAUUGUCUCUGAAGUCUCAUCCUUUGUGGAUAACCCUGUAUACAUAUAUAAUGUCAUCAUUCUACUCCCAUGGUUUAAAUGGUAAUUGGUCCGCCAUCUUGUAUUUGGAGAAGGAAGAGAAGAAUUAGCAAAACUAUCAAAACUACUUUCUUCAAAACAAUCAGCUUUUGAAAACACGUUUACGAGGAGCAGUACAGUUGAAGGAAAACUAGCAAGAACCAGAUCAGGGCGUGCCAAUGGAGAAACUGACUCUGGCUCUGAACUGCAAAUUGUAAUUGUGAUGACAGUUGUUUGUGUAAGUUUACUUGCAUUGAUUGGAUCUAUAUUCUUCAUCUCGAAAUCAAGGAAAAGAAGAAAUAAGAAGUCUGAAGAUAGAAUAAGAAUCCGUGAAUCAAAUGCAUAAUUAUUCUUUUUUAAAUUAAAUAAAUUCACGUUUAAAGAGA